rnacentral:rRNA from 1 species
UACAGAGGUCUCAAGCGUUGUUCGGAUUCAUUGGGCGUAAAGGGUGCGUAGGUGGCGCGCUAAGUCAGGUGUGAAAUUCGGAGCUUAACUCCGAAACUGCAUUUGAUACUGGCGUGCUUGAGGACUGGAGAGGAGACUGGAAUUCACGGUGUAGCAGUGAAAUGCGUGAGAGAGUCGUGAGGAAGACCAGUGGCGAAGGCGGGUCUCUGGACAGUUCCUGACACUGAGGCACGAAGGCCAGGGAGCAACGGG